rnacentral:rRNA from 1 species
GAACUUAAGCAUAUCAAUAAGCGGAGGAAAAGAAACCAACCGGGAUUGCCUCAGUAACGGCGAGUGAAGCGGCAAGAGCUCAAAUUUGAAAUCUGGCCCCCUUGGGGGUCCGAGUUGUAAUUUGCAGAGGAUGCUUCGGGUGCGGUCCCCGUCUAAGUGCCCUGGAACGGGCCGUCAUAGAGGGUGAGAAUCCCGUCUGGGAUGGGCGGCCGCGCCCGUGUGAAGCUCCUUCGACGAGUCGAGUUGUUUGGGAAUGCAGCUCUAAGUGGGUGGUAAAUUUCAUCUAAAGCUAAAUACUGGCCGGAGACCGAUAGCGCACAAGUAGAGUGAUCGAAAGAUGAAAAGCACUUUGAAAAGAGAGUUAAACAGCACGUGAAAUUGUUGAAAGGGAAGCGUUGUCCACCAGACUCGCCCGGGGGGGCUCAGCCGGCACUUGUGCCGGUGUACUCCUCCCCGGGCGGGCCAGCAUCGGUUUGGGCGGCUGGUGAAAGGCCCCGGGAAUGUAACACCCUCCGGGGUGCCUUAUAGCCCGGGGUGUCAUGCGGCCAGCCUGGACCGAGGCCCGCGCUUCGGCGAGGAUGCUGGCGUAAUGGUGGUCAACGGCCCGUCUUGAAACACGGACCAAGGAGUCUAACAUCUAUGCGAGUGUUCGGGUGUCAAACCCGUCCGCGCAGUGAAAGCGAACGGAGGUGGGAGCCCCUCGGGGCGCACCAUCGACCGAUCCUGAAGUCUUCGGAUGGAUUUGAGUAAGAGCAUAGCUGUUGGGACCCGAAA